GGGGGCGACUGGUUUCGACAGGGUAGUUCUGAGGUGGGCAGCAAGCCGUGGUCUCCUCGCCACGUAAAACAGGGGUACCGUCAAAUUUAAUUGACAACGAUUCUUAUCAGGGCUAUGCCCUCGCUGCUUAACUUUUAACUAGCAGCCGUCAAUCCCGGACAUUCUCCCGCUCCGGGUGCGACGUCAUUUAGGGAGAUGCCUUUCGGGACGUGGCUGGUAUGCCCGGAAGUAAGACCGAACCAGCUGGGGCGCUGAGCGCGUGUCGCCAGGUGCGAUGCGCCCGAGACCUAACUGACGACUGAGCUUGAAGACACCUGCCAGGGGAUUGCUUUGGACCGGAGUUCGAUUCUCCGCGCCUCCACCA
rnacentral:tmRNA from 2 species